rnacentral:rRNA from 1 species
CCUACGGGUGGCAGCAGUGGGGAAUAUUGGGCAAUGGGCGCAAGCCUGACCCAGCAACGCCGCGUGAAGGAAGAAGGCUUUCGGGUUGUAAACUUCUUUUCUCAGGGACGAAGCAAGUGACGGUACCUGAGGAAUAAGCCACGGCUAACUACGUGCCAGCAGCCGCGGUAAUACGUAGGUGGCAAGCGUUAUCCGGAUUUACUGGGUGUAAAGGUCGUGUAGGCGGGGAUGCAAGUCAGAUGUGAAAACCACGGGCUCAACCUGUGGCCUGCAUAUGAGACUGUAAUUCUUGAGUACGGGAGAGGCAGGCGGAAUUCCUAGUGUAGCGGUGAAAUGCGUAGAUAUUAGGAGGAACACCAGUGGCGAAGGCAGUCUGCUGGACAGCAACUGACGCUGAGGCGCGAAAGCGUGGGGAGCAAACAGGAUUAGAUACCCUGGUAGUC